UAGGGAAUAUUGCGGCAAUGGGGGGCAACCCUGACGCAGCAACUCCACGUGUGGGAUGAAGCAUUUCGGUGUGUAAACCACUGUCGAGAGGGAAUAAUUCGGCCUUUCGGGGCCGCUGAAUGUACCUUUAAAGGAAGCACCGGCAAACUUCGUGCCAGCAGCCGCGGUAAUACGAGGGGUGCAAGCGUUGUUCGGAAUCACUGGGCGUAAAGGGAGCGUAGGCGGGCCGCCAAGCGUUCUGUGCAAUCCCGGGGCCCAACCCCGGACCCGCAGAGCGAACUGGCGUCCUUGAGUGGUUCAGAGGCCGGCGGAAUUCCUGGUGUAGCGGUGGAA
rnacentral:rRNA from 1 species